GACGAACGCUGGCGGCGUGCUUAACACAUGCAAGUCGAACGGAAAGGCCCUGCUUUUGUGGGGUGCUCGAGUGGCGAACGGGUGAGUAACACGUGAGUAACCUGCCCUUGACUUUGGGUUAACUUCAGGAAACUGGGGCUAAUACCGGAUAGGAGUUCCUGCUGCAUGGUGGGGGUUGGAAAGUUUCGGUGGUUGGGGAUGGACUCGCGGCUUAUCAGCUUGUUGGUGGGGUAGUGGCUUACCAAGGCUUUGACGGGUAGACGGCCUGAGAGGGGGACCGGCCACAUUGGGACUGAGCUACGGCACAGACUACUAUGGGAGGCAGCAGUGGGGAAUAUUGCACAAUGGGCGGAAGCAUGAUGAAGCAACGCCGCGUGCGGGAUGACGGCCUUCGGGUUGUAAACCGCUUUCGCCUGUGACGAAGCGUGAGUGACGGUAAUGGGUAAAGAAGCACCGGCUAACUACGUG
rnacentral:rRNA from 1 species